GAUAUUUUUUUUUCCGGAAGGUCAAUAAGAUGUAACUACUUUACUUUCUUUUUACUUUCCUUUCACUUUUCUGUCAGUGGUGCUGAAACGUUUCUCCAUAAACAUCAAAGAAAUCUUCUCAAUCGAAAACAAAUCAAAUAGAUUUUCCCCGAUUCACGAUCAAAUCUUGGCCACCUUAAGGAGUUUUUUGUGGCUUCGCCGCAAGAUUGGUGAAGAAUCAUACACUCGCAGAGCAAAGUUUAUGGAACUUAUUUAAAUCAAGCUGUAGUUCGACUAUCGUUAGCGUCUUCGAAGACACUCCUUUGAUAGAGAAUCACCAUUGAAUGAUGAAGGCAAAGCUAAUGAUGAGAUAAGUUCCAUGUUUUUUUUUGGACACCGGUUUUCUCUGGUUCAAUUUUCAAAAAUUGUUUUAGGAUUUAAAGGUUGUUAAAAAUUGACUUGUGAUAUAUUUAUCGACAGGUAACAAUGUUUUGAUCUUCUGAGACUAAAGAAGAGUAGUCAAGUAAACGUUGAAGAAAGGGAGAGUAAGGAGAAUUCACAUAUAAUGAAGCUUGAAUUUAUGGCUAGUUGGUCGAUACUUCCCGGUUGUUGGAGUAAACGAGAAAUUCUCAUGGAACCUCCAUUCUCCAACUUGCAAUCUCUUAACACGAGCGAGGAAGAGCCUCUUGCAGGUACAAUGAAUCUUGACACCCUACUGUUACAAAUAAUGAGUGCUCAAUUUAGAAGUUCAUAGUAUAACUGUCUAGAAAGUUCAUAAUAAAACUUCAUAGAAUAAAAAGGCUUAAAAAACACUUACUGUCUUAUAUGCGAGUAUGAACUCUAGAGAGUCUCCACCGGAAUAAUUUGAGUGAUGUGUCCAUGAAUGAAGAACCUUCACUUCAACCUUCCAAGUUGUUUUGAAUGGCUUGACAUUGCUCAACAAAGUGAUGUUGUUCGAUGUAGUCAUAGCCAUCUCAGUGUUUGCUUUUAUUUUUUGGUGAGGCGCAUAAUUCUGUGAAGGUUAUGGAAGAUUAUUUAUAGUGAAUUGUGUGUAAAUGCUAGGUAUAAUGAGAAUAUAAAGGCAUAUUCUGAUUUCCAUAUAUUAUAGGUUUGUUAUCAAUAUUUGAUUUGCAUUUAUUUUAGGAACUGAUAUACGAAGUUAAGCGAUAAGAUCUGUAAUGAAUUUAGAUGGGAAGUUGAUUAAAAUAGAGAUCAUAUGCAACUACUAAAAUCGUGUGAAAAUAUAUUUUGUUAGAAAAAAAAUAUAAAUAAAGAAAAUAUUUAAACAAGGGUAAGUUGUUAGAGGGUUUUUUGCUUGGAAGAAAAGUUAGUAUAGAUUUGAGCAAAUCUAUAAUUAAUGUGUGUGGAAGAUAUUUAAUUUGCAGGACACGUAAUUCUAAACUUGUUCACAAAUUUGAAUGUAUACAUUUAUUGUAACCAUACUCUAGAAACACAUCACAUACGAACCAUGUACAAAUAUAUUUACUAAAAAUAUAGUAAUAUACCAUGGGUUUGAAUAGUAACCAAAGGAACGAAGAGGAACACUACAUUCUUUAACGUUCCUCAAAAAUGUUACCAUUCAUGAGGAAUAUUUUUUCCUCUUCAUCCCUUCUCAUUCCUUUUUUUGUAGAGAAUUAUAAUGUAAAUUUGUUCCUUGUUAAUUUUGAUAAGGAACCCGGGUUCCUCAUCAUUCCCAAAAUUUUAUUCCUAUUCAUUCUUUUCCUAAUCAUUUCUAAUGUUAAUGUUCUUCAAUGGUUACCAGUCACACCAUAUAUUAUACGUUAGUUCUUUUAUGAUUAGAUAUGAUUAGCAAAAGAAAAAAAAACUCAAAAAAAUUAAUGGUCAAACGAAUAUAAUCUAUAUAUGGUUGACAAUUUUACGUUCAUAAUGCUAGUGAAAGUGAGUGUUCAAAACUUACAGGUGUAGUGUAUGACUUCGAAUCUGGAUGUCUGGUUAGUAUUUUAAAAAAUUCAAAUGUGAAUUAAUUUGAAUUAAUUUUUAUGCGGUGAUUGAUAUGAACUACAGAGAACACAGAAGAAAGUGUUGUGAUUCAAGUAAUGAAAUGAAGUAUAAACAUGUUUGUCCAAGCAGAGUUUGUAUUAAGAUAUAAUCUAUAGAUAAGAAUUGUGUAUCGUAUUAUUCUUAUAAUUAUAGAUAA